UACGUAGGCAGCGAGCGUUGUUCGGAGUUACUGGGCGUAAAGAGUGCGUAGGCGGUUUUCUAAGUUUGGUGUGAAAUCUCCCGGCUUAACUGGGAGGGUGCGCCGAAGACUGGAAGGCUUGAGUAUGGGAGAGGAGCGCGGAAUUCCCGGUGUAGCGGUGAAAUGCGUAGAGAUCGGGAGGAAGGCCGGUGGCGAAGGCGGCGCUCUGGAACAUUUCUGACGCUGAGGCUCGAAAGCGUGGGGAGCAAACAGG
rnacentral:rRNA from 1 species